rnacentral:rRNA from 1 species
UGCCUGGCGGCACUAGCGCGGUGGUCCCACCUGACCCCAUGNCGAACUCAGAAGUGAAACGCCGUAGCGCCGAUGGUAGUGUGGGGUCUCCCCAUGUGAGAGUAGGGAACUGCCAGGCAU